rnacentral:rRNA from 1 species
GAGAGAGUUCAAGAGUACGUGAAACCGUUCAGGGGUAAACGGGAGACGUCCUGAAUUCGAAAGGGAUGGAUUCAAGCAGCUCGGGGGUCCCGGUUGUACAGGCUCCCCGCACCAGAUGGUGCCUGGCGCCCGCGUGGUGGUUAACCCCGCCCGCGGUGUCGCUCGGCUGCCACUCGGUGUGACGAGGAUGCUCUUGCUCUCGGCUGGUGCACUUCCUCCCUAGUAGAAACGUUGCGACCCGUUGGGCGUCGGCCUCAGGGCCCGGGAAGGCAGCCCGCCCGCUCGCGGUGGUCGAGCAAGGCGGACUCCCGGAGACCCGGCCGUGCGCCCGACGGUAUGUCCAGAGGAAGCGACCCGCAGUGAAAGCGUUGAACAGUGCGUCCAGGCCGGCGCCCAGUGCGUGCAGUUAGGGUCUGUGUCUUAUACGCGCCUCUCUCGUGCGCCGACGUCGGUGG